UGGUGAACGAGCUGCUCGUCUAUGGCAUCC
rnacentral:piRNA from 1 species